AGUAGGGAAUCUUCCGCAAUGGACGAAAGUCUGACGGAGCAACGCCGCGUGAGUGAUGAAGGUUUUCGGAUCGUAAAGCUCUGUUGUUAGGGAAGAACAAGUACCGUUCGAAUAGGGCGGUACCUUGACGGUACCUAACCAGAAAGCCACGGCUAACUACGUG
rnacentral:rRNA from 1 species